rfam:Candidatus Thorarchaeota archaeon AB_25 ThorAB25_contig000018, whole genome shotgun sequence.
ACGGGUCGAAGCACAGGUUAACGCCGGGACUAACUAUGAGUCUCUUAAGGUAGCCAAAUGCCUUGUCGGUUAAAUGCCGACGUGCAUGAAGGGAGCAAUGAGGUCCCCACUGUCCCCAGGAGGGCUCCGGUGAACCUACACCAUACCGAACAGUGUAUGUAGCGCCAAUGGGAAGAGAAGUCCCUGCGGAGGUUUACUACGCAGUCUGUCAUUGCCAUUUCUGGUAUCAUACAGAGUAUAGUCAGGAGCGACGAACCACACUCUCCGGGGUGUGGGAAUGCGACCGUGUAAUACUGACUAUGUUGUUGGGGAUGGCUAACCUAGACCAAGUGAGUCUAGGGACACUGGCAGAUAGGCAGUUGGGCUGGGGCGGCACAGGGCUGACAAGAGAUCAGCCCUGACCAAUGCUGAACUCAGAGGCGAUGGAAACGUCUCGUUGAGAUCAAGGGCAUAAGUCCGGUUGAUAGGAUCCCGAAAAGCAACGGGUCCUGGGUGGAAACACUGGCCUAGCGAACCUUCACUAGCCAAUUGUGAGUGGUGGAGAUGACAAAAAACUUACCCCAGGGGUAACAGAGUUGUCGCGUGCAAGAGUUCAUAUCGACCACGCGGCUUGCUUCCUCGAUGUCGGCUCUUGGUAUCCUCGGGUUGCACAAGGCCCGAAGGGUGCGGGUGCUCACCGAUUAAAACCGAACGUGAGCUGGGUUUAGACCGUUGCGAGACAGGUUGGUUUCUAUCUAUUGGUACUGUCGGAUGUCUGAUGGCAAGAUGAUUCCGGUACGAGAGGAACGAAUUGUCGCGACCUAUGGUGUAUCGAUUGUCUGAGAAGGCACUGUCGAGUAGCUAAGUCGUAAUGGAUAAACGCUGAAUGCAUCUAAGCGUGAAGCCAGACCAGAAAAUAGACAUCCACUUGCUAGACGAUCUGCGAAAGACGACGGGACUGGUGACAGUAACGUCGAAGUCUAGGAACGAGGACUCUUGUAGAAGACAAGGUAAAUAGGGCGGGGGUGUAAGCACCAAGCUUCGGCGAGGUGUUCAGCUCACCGCUACUAAUGUCCGAGGCGUGCAUUUC